UUAAAGCAAAGGCAAAUUAAAAUUCUUUAACUACUCUAAUGAAUUAUAUUAUUUCACUUAGGCUUGCAACAUUAGCGAGAAAAAAGAAGAAGCUGGGGUUGACACAGAACCCUCUGCCUGCUGGUGAUGGUCCUGCAACACCAACCUUGCCAGAGAGCCCAGGCGGUGAAAGUUCGGUCCCCACAGUGCCAGAUGUAACCACCAUGGCGUCUUCAGUGGCGGCGUGUACAUCACGCAACACUGAUGACAGUACACAUACUCUGUCCGAUGACUAUCAAGGGAAUGAUGACCUUCCUCCGCUGAUAGUGGUUUACGAGCCUCCAUUGCCACAGACAGAUCCGGGACUCAGUAUGUUAGAGGGUCGAAUGAUGGUUGACGUUCGUCACUUCAUGGUGCAAUGCCGUCUUCUGGAGAGACACAGGUGUCCCAUUUCAUCUUCAGGAACAUAUUUUCUGGAAAGUGUCAACAGGUACGGUCUGCUGACAAAUUUUAAAUUUAAGUGCACUCACUGCAAUCAAGAGCAGCAGUUCAAAUCUGAGCCUGUGGAAUGCCUUCCAGUGGGAAGAAAAAGAAAAUGCAAAAUCGAUACCAACUUAGAUAUCAACGAUAAGAUUGUUUGGGGCGCAAUUUCGGUUGGUCUAGGCUACGGACCAUUGUAUGAACUAUUGUCACUAAUUGAUAUGCAUCCUAUGAGCCCGGGUUGCUUUUCUUAUCACGAGAACAGAAUCGGAGAGCACUGGAAGGCAAUGUUUCAGAAGGAAAUGGAAGAUGCUGCACUGGAAGAGUUCUCUAUGGCGAAAGAUGAUGGACGCAUCUGUAUGGUUGGAAAUGAGGAAUAUGCUUGGACCAUAGGAAUUUUGGAUGGAGGUUGGAGCCAAAGAUCCUAUGGUCAUAGGUAUUCUGCUAAGUCUGGAU